rnacentral:misc_RNA from 1 species
GAUGAAGAACGUAGCGAAAUGCGAUAAGUAAUGUGAAUUGCAGAAUUCAGUGAAUCAUCGAAUCUUUGAACGCACAUUGCGCCCGCCAGUAUUCUGGCGGGCAUGCCUGUUCGAGCGUCAUUACAACCCUCAGGCCCCCGGGCCUGGCGUUGGGGAUCGGCGAGGCGCCCCCCGCGGGCACGCGCCGUCCCCCAAAUACAGUGGCGGUCCCGCCGCAGCUUCCAUUGCGUAGUAGCUAACACCUCGCAACUGGAGAGCGGCGCGGCCAUGCCGUAAAACACCCAACUUCUGAAUGUUGACCUCGAAUCAGGUAGGAAUACCCGCUGAACUUAAGCAUAUCAAUAAGCGGAGGA